ACUCACGACUGCCUGCUUGCAAGGCAGGUGCUAAUGCCGCUGAGCUAAAUCCCCAGCCCCACCAAGAGCUCUUUUUAAAAAAGUUUUUUGAGACAGGGUCUUGCUAUGUAGCCCAGGCUGGUCACAAACACACGGGGGUCCUCCUGCCUCAGCCUCCUGAGUGCUGGGGACACAGGGGUGCACCACCACGCCUCGCUCAUCUUUUAAAGGAGCCUCAGAUGGUUGCUUAUGGGGCUGCCCUCCUCCACCGUGACCUCGUCCUAAUGACAUCGUCAGGGGCCACCCACGUGUCUAACUCAGGUGGCCUUAUGAGGAAUCGGGGUGGGGACUGUCACACAUGUAUUUUGGGAGGAGACACAGUCACCUGGUAACUGUGAUCCCCAUGGCUCCUGUCCAGGUCCCUGCAGGAAGUUUUUGUAGAUGCAGGCAGAUUCUCUCUAACAGCGUAUUAGGACAGGCAGAGAAACCAGGAUAGCGGAGCAGGUUUUGGGAAGGCUGCUAACACCGGAGGACUCACGCUGCCUAAGCUCUGGGUUUGUCGUGCAGCAAGGCUCAGAAGGGAAGAGUGCAGUAUGGGCUCAUGGAAGAGGCUGAGGCAGGAGCGUCUCGGCCACACCCUGUCUCAGAAGGGGCUGGGGAUGUGGCUCAUUGUGCAGGCCCUGGUUCAAUACCCAAGACACAAAAAUAAACUGGGGGAGCUGGUGUGGUGGCACGUGCCUAUGAGCCCAGCACUCUGGAAGCUGAGGCAGGAAGAUUGCUUUGAUUUUGAGGCCAGCCUGGGCUACACAGCAAGGCCCUGUCUCAAGAAAGCAAACUAAAUAAGACAAAAGCUCCCAAAUCUCAAAAAUGCUAAAAUUAACUCAAAGUGAACCACAGAUCAAAAAGUGAAAUUUAGACCUAUCAUUUUUAUUUCAUUGUGCGUUCUCGGGGUACAUAAGGAUCACACUCAGCACGGGGGUUUGAGCCUGCACUUACCACCGUCGGCUUCCUUCCCUCCCACUCUCCUCCCCUGCCCCUCUGCAGAAGCUCCCUUUCCUCUCCCCCUCUUCCUUACUUUCUGUCCUCCCCUCCCCUCCCCUUCCCAUUGGAACAUUUUCUUCCCUUUAUACAUUUGAGUCCUUAGUUACACUUUCUGUUUUUCACAGAGGAAUUUUUUUCUUUUGUCUUUUUGAGACAGGGUCUCACUGUGCAGUUCAGGCUGGCCUUGAGCUCACUUUGUAGCCCAGGCUGGUCUCGAACUUCCAGGGAUCCUCCUGCCUCAGCCUCCGGAGAACUGAGAUUACAGGUGUGCACCACUACAGCUGGCUCUGUUUUUCACAGAGAAACGACUGUAUUUAAAGACCUGUCUCUGAUAUAUUUUGCUUGAGAGUAUUGUCUCACCAAGAAUGGUGGUGCAUACCUGUGAUCCCAGUUUUCAGGAGGCUGAGGCAGGAGGGUUGCCUCAAAUUGAGGGCCAGCAUGGGAUACAUAGUGAGGCCUUGUCUCAAAUAAUAAACAGAAAGAAAGAAAGAAAAAGAAGAAACUUCUGUUCGUGAUACAUAUUGACUAUGUGAUCUAUUUUACAUGCAGCCCAAGACAAUUCCCCCUCAGUUAGUGUGACCCAGGCACCUAAGAUGUUCAGCCUGGCCCAGCACAAGAGCCUAAAAGUGCAAUUCCUUCUGACCCAGCGUCAGGAUAUUUGUGUGUGUUUGUGUGUGCUGGAGAUUGCAAAUGAGCUACAUCCCCUGCCUUUUUUUGUGUGUGUGUGUAUAUAUAUAUAUACAAAAAAAUUUGUAUGUAUAUAAAUAAUUUGGGGAGGAGGCUGGGGAUUUAGCUCAGUGGCAUAAGCACCUGCCUGGCAAGUGUGAGGUCGUGAGUUCGAUCCCCGGUACUGCAAAAAAUAAGUAAAUAAUUUUUUGAGGCAGGGUCUUGCCAUGCAGCCAAGGCCGGCCGUGAACUCACUGAACAGCCUCGGAUGGACUCAAAUUCACAGCAACCCUCCUGCGUGCUGGGAUGAUGCAGGCACCACCAUGCCAGGCUAGUUUUUUAUUUUGAGACAAGGUUUUGGUAAAUUGCCCAGGCUGAGAUCCAAUUUGUGAUCCUCCUGUCUCAGUUUCUCAGUGUGCUGGGAUUAUAGACGUUCUCCGCUUUGCCCUGCUAGUCAGAGACUCUUUGCUUUUUUGUUUUGUUUUGUUUUGUUUUUGUUGUUGUUUUUUGUCUUUUUGAGACAGGGUUUCACUCUGCAGUUCAGGCUGGCCUUGGACCCGCAGCGAUCCUCCUGCCUCAGCCUCCCAAGUGCUGGGAGUGCAGGCGUGCACCACCAUGCUCAGCCUCAUUGUUUUGUUUCUCUGAGAGGGGGUCUCUGUGUAGGCCAGGCUGGCCUUGAACUUCAUAGCAAUCUUCCUGCCUCAGCCUCCUGAGGCAUAGUUCUUUUUUUUUUUUUUUUUUUUUUUGGUCCUGGGACUGAACAGGUCCUUCACACUGAGCCGUAUCCCCAGCCUUUUUGUUGUUUUUUAUUUUCAGACAGAGCCUCGCUGGGUCAUCAGACUGGGCUCAGAUUCAGACCUUCCUGCCUCAGCUUCCCUGGGAGCUCAGUUUAUAGAGCCGAGGCUGGAACCCAGGGCCCAGAUAGGACUCAAACAUUUGGAUGUUCCUAGCCGGCUCCGCGGCCCACGCCUGUCAUCGCAGCGCCGGGGAGGAGGAGGCAGGAGGACUAACUUGAGUUUGAGGCCAGUCUGGACCACAUGGAGACCCAGUCUCAAAGAGCAACCAAA